GACGAACCGUGCGAACGUUGUUCGGAAUCACUGGGCUUAAAGGGCGCGUAGGCGGGUCGUUAAGUUAGAGGUGAAAGCCCAGGGCUCAACCCUGGAAUUGCCUUUGAUACUGGCGGCCUUGAGUAUGGCAGAGGUGUGUGGAACUCCGAGUGUAGAGGUGAAAUUCGUAGAUAUUCGGAAGAACACCAGUGGCGAAGGCGACACACUGGGCCAUUACUGACGCUGAGGCGCGAAAGCGUGGGGAGCAAACAGG
rnacentral:rRNA from 1 species